rnacentral:rRNA from 1 species
UACGUAGGGUGCAAGCGUUGUCCGGAAUUAUUGGGCGUAAAGAGCUCGUAGGCGGUUUGUCGCGUCUGCUGUGAAAACCCGAGGCUCAACCUCGGGCCUGCAGUGGGUACGGGCAGACUAGAGUGCGGUAGGGGAGAUUGGAAUUCCUGGUGUAGCGGUGGAAUGCGCAGAUAUCAGGAGGAACACCAAUGGCGAAGGCAGAUCUCUGGGCCGUAACUGACGCUGAGGAGCGAAAGCAUGGGCAGCGAACAGG